UAGGGAAUUUUCGUCAAUGGGCGCAAGCCUGAACGAGCGAUGCCGCGUGAGUGAAGAAGGCCUUCGGUCGUAAAGCUCUGUUGCGGGGGAAAAAGGGCAGCAUCAGGAAAUGGGUGCUGACUGAUGGUGCCCCGCCAGAAAGUCACGGCUAACUACGUGCC
rnacentral:rRNA from 1 species